UACGAAGGGGGCUAGCGUUGCUCGGAAUUACUGGGCGUAAAGCGCGUGUAGGCGGAUGAGCAAGUCUGCUGUGAAAGCUCCUGGCUUAACCGGGAGUGGUCGGUGGAAACUGCUCGUCUGGAGGGCGGUAGAGGUAGGUAGAAUUCCCGGUGUAGUGGUGAAAUGCGUAGAGAUCGGGAGGAAUACCUGUGGCGAAGGCGGCCUACUGGGCCGGACCUGACGCUGAGACGCGAAGGCGUGGGGAGCGAACGGG
rnacentral:rRNA from 1 species